rnacentral:rRNA from 1 species
CUGGCCGUAAACGAUGAACACUAGAUGUUGGGGGAAUCGACCCCCUCGGUGUCGUAGCUAACGCGUUAAGUGUUCCGCCUGGGGAGUACGCACGCAAGUGUGAAACUCAAAGGAAUUGACGGGGGCCCGCACAAGCGGUGGAGUAUGUGGUUUAAUUCGAUGCAACGCGAAGAACCUUACCAAGGCUUGACAUCCUGCGAAUCUCCAAGAAAUUGGAGAGUGCCUUUUGGAACGCAGUGACAGGUGGUGCAUGGCUGUCGUCAGCUCGUGUCGUGAGAUGUUGGGUUAAGUCCCGCAACGAGCGCAACCCGCGUUUUUAGUUGCCAGCAUUCAGUUGGGCACUCUAGAAAGACUGCCGGUGACAAACCGGAGGAAGGUGUGGACGACGUCAAGUCAUCAUGCCCCUUACGCCUUGGGCUACACACGUACUACAAUGCUGCGGACAAAGAGUAGCGAUCUUGCGAAAGUUAGCUAAUCUCGUAAACCGUGGCUCAGUUCAGAUUGUAGGCUGCAACUCGCCUACGUGAAGGAGGAAUCGCUAGUAAUCGCAGGUCAGCAUACUGCGGUGAAUACGUUCCCGGGCCUUGUACACACCGCCCGUCACACCAUGGAAGUUGGCCAUGCCCGAAGUCGUUACUCUAACCUUUUGGAAGAGGGCGCCGAAGGCAGGGCUAAUGACUGGGGUGAAGUCGUAACAAGGUAGCCGUAGCGGAAGCUGCGGCUGGAUCACCUCCUAA